GGAGGUUACUGCUAUCGGUGUUCGCCUAACCCAUGCGAGUCAUAUGUUCUUCGUGAACAUGGCGUACUGCUCAUUAACACGUGAAUAACCUGCCCUUGGGACCGGCAUAACCCCGGGAAACUGGGGAUAAUUCCGGAUACCGCAUAUAUGCUGGAAUGCUUUAUGCGUGAAAUGGAUUCGUCUGCCCAAGGAUGGAUCUGCGGCCUAUCAGGUAGUAGUGGGUGUAAUGUACCUACUACCCUACAACGGGUACGGGUUGUGAAAGCAAAAGCCCGGAAAUGGAUUCUGAAACAUGAAUCCAGGCCCUACGGGGCGCACCAC
rnacentral:rRNA from 1 species